CUGGAACUUAAGCAUAUCAAUAAGCGGAGGAAAAGAAACCAACAGGGAUUGCCCUAGUAACGGCGAGUGAAGCGGCAACAGCUCAAAUUUGAAAUCUGGCUUCGGCCCGAGUUGUAAUUUGCAGAGGAUGUUUCUGGCGCGGUGCCUUCCGAGUUCCCUGGAACGGGACGCCAUAGAGGGUGAGAGCCCCGUAUGGUUGGAUACCAAGCCUGUGUGAAACUCCUUCGACGAGUCGAGUAGUUUGGGAAUGCUGCUCAAAAUGGGAGGUAAAUCUCUUCUAAAGCUAAAUAUUGGCCAGAGACCGAUAGCGCACAAGUAGAGUGAUCGAAAGAUGAAAAGCACCUUGAAAAGGGGGUUAAACAGUACGUGAAAUUGUUGAAAGGGAAGCGCUCAUGACCAGACUUGUGCUGGGCAGCUCAUCCGGGGUUCUCCCCGGUGCAUUCUGCCCAGUUCAGGCCAGCAUCGAUUUUUGCUGGGGGAUAAGAACGGUAGGAACGUGGCCCUCCUUCGGGAGGGUGUUAUAGCCUACCGUACGAUACCCUAGCGGAGAUCGAGGUUCGCGCAUCUGCAAGGAUGCUGGCGUAAUGGUCAUCAGCGACCCGUCUUGAAACACGGACCAAGGAGUCGUCCAUUAGAGCGAGCGUUUGGGUGUAAAACCCGCACGCGUAAUGAAAGUGAAAUUAGGUGAGAGCUUCGGCGCAUCAUCGACCGAUCCUGAUGUUCUCGGAUGGAUUUGAGUAAGAGUUUUAACGGACGGACCCGAAAGACAGUGAACUAUGCUUGUAUAGGGUGAAGCCAGAGGAAACUCUGGUGGAGGCUCGCAGCGGUUCUGACGUGCAAAUCGAUCGUCAAAUAUGAGCAUGGGGGCGAAAGACUAAUCGAACUGUCUAGAAACUGGUUACCGCCGAAGUU
rnacentral:rRNA from 1 species